GGGUUGUGAGGUUAAGCGACUAAGCGUACACGGUGGAUGCCCUGGCAGUCAGAGGCGAUGAAGGACGUGCUAAUCUGCGAUAAGCGUCGGUNNNNNNNNNNUUUCGACACACUAUCAUUAACUGAAUCCAUAGGUUAAUGAGGCGAACCGGGGGAACUGAAACAUCUAAGUACCCCGAGGAAAAGAAAUCAACCGAGAUUCCCCCAGUAGCGGCGAGCGAACGGGGAGCAGCCCAGAGCCUGAAUCAGUGUGUGUGUUAGUGGAAGCGUCUGGAAAGGCGCGCGAUACAGGGUGACAGCCCCGUACACAAAAAUACACAUACUGUGAGCUCGAUGAGUAGGGCGGGACACGUGGUAUCCUGUCUGAAUAUGGGGGGACCAUCCUCCAAGGCUAAAUACUCCUGACUGACCGAUAGUGAACCAGUACCG
rnacentral:rRNA from 1 species